rnacentral:rRNA from 1 species
AGCUUCGGUUGGAUUGAGAGUGGCGCACGGGUGCGUAACGCGUAUGCAACCUACCUUGUACAGGGGGAUAGCCCGGAGAAAUUCGGAUUAAUAUCCCAUGGUAUCCUUUAGUGGCAUCACUUUAAGGAUUAAAGAUUUAUCGGUACAAGAUGGGCAUGCGUGACAUUAGUUAGUUGGUAGGGUAACGGCCUACCAAGACGAUGAUGUCUAGGGGUUCUGAGAGGAUGAUCCCCCACACUGGUACUGAGAUACGGACCAGACUCCUACGGGAGGCAGCAGUAGGGAAUAUUGGUCAAUGGGCGAGAGCCUGAACCAGCCAUGCCGCGUGCAGGAAGACGGCUUUCUGAGUUGUAAACUGCUUUUGUACGGGAAGAAAAAGGCCAUGCGUGGCAAAUUGCCGGUACCGUACGAAUAAGCACCGGCUAACUCCGUGCCAGCAGCCGCGGUAAUACGGAGGGUGCAAGCGUUGUCCGGAUUUAUUGGGUUUAAAGGGUGCGUAGGCGGAUCUUUAAGUCAGUGGUGAAAUCCUGCAGCUUAACUGUAGAACUGCCAUUGAAACUGGAGGUCUUGAGUAUACUAGAGGUAGGCGGAAUUUAUGGUGUAGCGGUGAAAUGCAUAGAUACCAUAAAGAACACCAAUAGCGUAGGCAGCUUACUGGAGUAUAACUGACGCUGAGGCACGAAAGCAUGGGUAGCGAACA